rnacentral:rRNA from 1 species
AUGCUAGCGCCAAGCUUUCAUCCAUUGCACCAAAUGUCCAAACUCUUUUUUUUACACUCACUUUAUGAGACAGUCAAUACACCUAUGGUGCUGGGUAAAUUUCUGCACCUCAAGUAUUUGGAGAUAAAACUUUUCAUGCCAACUCGUUCUCCAGGUUACGACUUCUGUUCUUUGGUUUCUUUUCUUGAUGCUUCUCCCACCUUGAGGACUUUCGUCUUGUGUGUAGAGGCUCCUACCAUGGAAGGUGGUUUGAUUCCUGGAGUCAAUAUGUGCGAAGAUUUCUCAUUGGCAAGUUCUGUUCCGAAACACCGACAUCGCAAGCUUAAGAGUGUUAUCAUCACUGGCUUUUGCCCUUGGAAGACAAUGAUUGAGCUAACGAGAUGUAUUCUUGAUUAUGCAACGUCACUAAAGCACCUUACCCUGGACACUACUCUUGGAUAUCGUAGGAGGAGGUUGGGCAACUGUUUCCCUUUGGGUAGGGAUACAAUUAUGGAAGCCUGA